rnacentral:rRNA from 1 species
AUACGGAGGGUGCAAGCGUUAUCCGGAUUCAUUGGGUUUAAAGGGUGCGCAGGCGGAAUGAUAAGUCAGUGGUGAAAUCCUACAGCUUAACUGUAGAACUGCCAUUGAUACUGUCAUUCUUGAGUACACUUGAAGUGGGCGGAAUGUAUCAUGUAGCGGUGAAAUGCCUAGAUAUGAUACAGAACUCCGAUAGCGAAGGCAGCUCACUAAAUUGUAACUGACGCUCAGGCACGAAAGCGUGGGGAGCAAACAGGAUUAGAUACCCCAGUAGUCC